GAGUUUGAUCCUGGCUCAGAACGAACGCUGGCGGCAUGCCUAACACAUGCAAGUCGAACGGGAUCCGGACUUCGGUUCGGUGAGAGUGGCGGACGGGUGAGUAACGCGUGGGAACCUGCCCAGUGGUGGGGGAUAACUGCGGGAAACUGCAGCUAAUACCGCAUGAGCCCGAGAGGGGAAAGAUUUAUCGCCAUUGGAGGGGCCCGCGUUCGAUUAGGUAGUUGGUGAGGUAAUGGCUCACCAAGCCGACGAUCGAUAGCUGGUCUGAGAGGAUGAUCAGCCACACUGGGACUGAGAUACGGCCCAGACUCCUACGGGAGGCAGCAGUGGGGAAUAUUGGACAAUGGGGGCAACCCUGAUCCAGCAAUGCCGCGUGAGUGAUGAAGGCCUUCGGUUGU
rnacentral:rRNA from 1 species